UAUUGGAGAGUUUGAUCCUGGCUCAGGACGAACGCUGGCGGCGUGCCUAACACAUGCAAGUCGGACGGGGAAUUGAGCUUCGGUUCAAUUCCUAGUGGCGAACGGGUGAGUAACGCGUAGGCAACCUGCCCUUUAGACGGGGACAACAUUCCGAAAGGGAUGCUAAUACCGGAUGUGACAGCGUCAUCGCAUGACGGUGCUGUGAAAGAUGGCCUCUACGAGUAAGCUAUCGCUAAAGGAUGGGCCUGCGUCUGAUUAGCUAGUUGGU
rnacentral:rRNA from 1 species